rnacentral:rRNA from 1 species
AGUGAACGCUGGCGGUAGGCCUAACACAUGCAAGUCGAACGGCAGCACAGGAGAGCUUGCUCUCUGGGUGGCGAGUGGCGGACGGGUGAGGAAUACAUCGGAAUCUACUCUGUCGUGGGGGAUAACGUAGGGAAACUUACGCUAAUACCGCAUACGACCUACGGGUGAAAGCAGGGGACCUUCGGGCCUUGCGCGAUUGAAUGAGCCGAUGUCGGAUUGGCUAGUUGGCGGGGUAAAGGCCCACCAAGGCGACGAUCCGUAGCUGGUCUGCAAGGAUGAGCAGACACACUGUAACUGAGACACGGUCCAGACGCCUACGGGAGGCAGCAGUGGGGAAUAUUGGACAAUGGGCGCAAGGUUGAUCCAGCCAUACCGCGUGGGUGAAGAAGGCCUUCGGGUUGUAAAGCCCUUUUGUUGGGAAAGGAAUCCAGCUGGCUAAUACCCGGUUGGGAUGACGGUACCCAAAGAAUAAGCACCGGCUAACUUCGUGCCAGCAGCCGCCGUAA